UACGUAGGGGGCAAGCGUUGUCCGGAAUUACUGGGCGUAAAGCGUGCGUAGACGGUUACAUAAGUCGGAUGUGAAAGCCCCGGGCUCAACCUGGGAAUUGCAUUCGAGACUGUGUAGCUAGGAUGCGGAAGAGGGAAGCGGAAUUUCCGGUGUAGCGGUGAAAUGCGCAGAUAUCAGGAGGAACACCGGUGGCGAAGGCGGGUCUCUGGGCCGAUACUGACGCUGAGGAGCGAAAGCGUGGGGAGCGAACAGG
rnacentral:rRNA from 1 species